UCCGGCCCGGCCUUUUAAGCUCAAUCCCACUUCGUUUGGGAUAUAGGUUAACUUUUUAAGUUUUUUUUUUUGUUUUUUUACUUAGAUUAGGUGACUAUGGAAUGAUUUGAGAAGUUAAUUAAAAGUUGAUUUUUGAAUUUUUUUUUAUUUUUAAAAAUAUGAGAAGUAUUGUGGCUCUAAAUGUUUUAAAAAUUAAAAACUAACUUUUAACUAACUUCUCAAAUUAUUCUUAAAUGUUAGGACAUACUGUAAAAUAGCUCUCCUCCAACAUCACUCAGUUGUUUGCGACCUUUCACUUUAUCCAACCAUCUACCUAACUUUCUCCGCCUAUCCCACUCAAAUUUUGACAGUUUUUUUCUCGUAAGAGAAUCUUAACAAGUUAAGUUUAAAAAUAUUUUACAAGUUUGUUAAUUACAGAUAUUUGGGUUUAGGUCAUUAAGUUUAUGAAAAAUUAUCUGAGUUUUCAAAUAAAACUCUUAGAAUGGUAUGUUAGAAUACGUGUCAUCUUUUGAUUUGUUAGAUACUCAAUGAUUGAGAUCACAUCAUUGUGAACGAAUUUGUAAGUCAAAUGUGUGAGUCUUUAAUAUCACUCUAAGUUUAUAUAUAUUGUAAAAAAAAUUCAAGAUACUCGAAUUUAUGAUUAGCUUAAUUGAAACUCAUUCGAAAUCAAUCUAAAAAUUAAACAAAUCAAUCUAAGAUAUAUUGUAAAACGCAUUAAAAUUUUCAAUUAAACUUGAACUCAGUACUCCGCUGGUUUACUAGAACUAAUAAAAAAGGUUACACAAUUACUUUCAAGAAAAUAAAAAAGUAUGCAAAAAGUGUCAAAAGUUGGGUCUCAGCCAAUCUGUCACAGGCCCACUUGAGCCACUUGUGGAGACGCCGUGCCAAAUUUUAAAACCUUAGAAGGAAAAAAAAAAAAAAAACCUUUAAAAAAAAAUAUUGAAUAAUUGAUUAAUUUUGUAUGUUGAUCUUACUAUAUAAUUAUACAUCUCGAUUGUAUGUUACUUUUCAGAUUCAAUUUUUAAUCAUUGUUUCUUAGUCGUAGACUUUUUGAUCUUAGGCCAAGUUUAGCUAUAAAGAAAAAAGUGCACUUAUUUCAUCUUUUUAUCUUUUUUGAGUCACAUCAAUCAACAUCUCCUCUCUACUUUUUCUACACAUAAUACAAAAAAAGUCAAAAAGUACACUUAAUUAGUCUUCCCAAACUAGGCCUUAAUAUUUAAUCAUAUGUUACUAAUAUGUAUUUACCCUGAUAUGCUUUUGGGUUUUUAUUAUUAUACAUAUACAUAUUUAUAAAAAUAAAAAUUAGUUUUGUGUAAACAGUAUCCAAAACAGUGAUCCUUUCCUUCAAAAAGUAUGUUGCUUUGACCAAGUGGUAGAUUCUUUUAUUUCCGAUCAAUAAAAAAUUGAGUUUUAUUUACACGCAGUAUUUUUUAUUUUAUUUUAUUUUAUUUGUUUUUGUUUACACAGUAUCAUAUGUGAACAAAACUGCACUUCAUAAAAUAUUAAAAAAAAAUGCACAAAAAAGUUGGAUUUGUAGUGUAAAUUUAAAUAUGGAAAAUGUUUGGGAUCCUUUUGGGAAUGACCUCAUACCCCCAAGUGAUCUUGACCCUUUAUGUAUGUGUGAGGUUCACAUCAUGAAUUAUCUACAUCUAUAAGGGUCUUGUGAUAGUGAAAAUUUCAAUCAUUACUCUUUAAAUAUUAUGAAUGUAAAAUGUACUCGAAAUAAAUGUAAUUUAUAUAUUUAAAUUCUAAGCAAUGUUAUAUGUAACUAUUAUAAUCUAUGGGACGAGAAGUUAUUGGUUAUUCUUGGAUAUCGUGAUGUGGUGCUCUAAUGUUAUGUUUGGUUGGUGAUUUGAAAA